rnacentral:lncRNA from 1 species
CGGGGACCUGCUUCACAAGUUACAGUUCGUCCUGACAUAUGUGGCUCCUUGGCAGAUGGCUUGGGGUUCUUCGUUUCACGUGUUUGCUCAGCUCUUUGCCAUUCCUCAUUCUGCCAUGCUUUUCUUUCAGACGAUUGCCACAUCAAUCUUUUCUACCCCAUUGAGCCCAUUUCUUGGGAGUGUCAUUUUCAUCACAUCAUAUGUCAGGCCAGUGAAAUUCUGGGAGAAAAACUACAAGUGUUUCUGGGCUACGUGAGGCAAAAAUAAAAACAGAGAAACUCACCACAGUGUUUUUCCUUGGAUCCCAUGAUGCCCAGAUGCUCUACUUUUUCCUUUUACCUUUCAGAAGGUGUUUUUAUAACAUGUAAAAUCCAGGGUUUUCGUUGUACCAAGUAGAGGAAUAAGGAAAAAUACACCAACUCCAUAUUUCCGGAAGAAUACAACCAAUCUGCAUGUAUUCAUUGUUCUUAUUCGUGCUUAGCUUUCUCUACUGCAGUUUCAUAUGGUAUGAUGAAAACAUAAUAUGUUGGAUACCAGUAUUCUGUAUAGGGUAUUCUUUCAUUGCAGGCCUCAAAUAGACUUUCAGGAAAUAGACUUUUACAAUAACAUUAGGAGGUAAGAGAAUUGCCUCAUUAUGUCCAUAUGGCUGCCUGUGAGCACACAUGUAUGUUUACACAGAAUCUUAGAAACUUCACCUUGAGGUAGGCUGAACACAGUGUGGUUGCCGAGUGUAUUUUACAGUUUAUCUAUAGGAUAAUAGAAGAAACCAGAAAAGCACUGAGGGAAUGUAAACAGAGAGAAAAAAUGUUGAUUCAGACCCUGUCAUGAUAAGAUCCUUGUGGAGAGAGUGGUAUAAAACUCAGCAAGCUUUAUAAACAUAAAAUG